UGGCACUCUCUCAAGCAGACACAGCUCACUCAAGUUUGUUUCUAUUUACCCAUUUAGGUCAAACUCUGUUUUAACAAUUGCCAUGUUAAUAUGGGGUUCUAUUUAGCCAAACUGUUUCCAUGGCAACCCCUCAGUUGGAAGUCCCAAGAAAACACUUUGAUGAUCAACCACAACGAAUUCAUCUUGGACUUAGUCCAGAAGCAAUGGAUUUGUUGAAGUCCGCUCUUAGAAGAAAGGAGAGAUUGUCCCAAGUCCCAAGUUUCCUCUAUAGGCAACAACAGCUGUCCUGGGGCUAGUGCUGCUGACUUCCAGUGCUGGGGUCCCUGGAGAAAGUGAGUUUAAGCUUGAAG
rnacentral:lncRNA from 1 species